AAACGAAGGCAGACGGACUUUCCUUCCUCAAGUUUCUGAAAUUCCUUGUCUUCCACCCAGCGGAUAGGAUGAACAUCUCGUAAACGUAUGCUAUCCCAACAAAUAGGACAGCUACGAUGACCACAUUUUACUAUCUUGGUGCCAGAAGUUUCAGCGGCUUUAACCUCCGCCGCCGUAGGGGUCUCGACGAAUCGAAGCAAACAAGAAAAGCAAUAAACAUGCCCACAUCUGGACAUCCUUGCAGCGACAGGCUUUUCUUCAAGGCAAAACGGGCAAGCUGCUAGUUGAAAAUCGGAAGAGCAAAGUACUUGCCAAACAUCCUCCCACUUUACCGGAGAAUCUGGAUCUAGUUUCUGUGAUUGAUAAUCACCAAUAGGAGAGACAACAAACCUAUAGUUUGCAUUAACAUAUCUUGAUUUAUCCAUGGGAUGAUGACCAGAUCCUUGACCAUAAGUAUUAUAUCCACGGGACCUACGCGGAGGAGCAGAAAAGGCGUUCGAAUUAGUCCUAGGUGUAAACUGAAAAUUAAGUAGAUGAUUUAGAUUAAUCUGACCACGCUUAUUAGUUCUCGCAGAUAAAAUAUCAAAAAGAUGUUCAUCAUAGACAGUUUGCGGAUCAUCAAGUGAUUCGCCAAUAGAAUCAGCAAUUGCACUUGAUUGCUUUUCAAGACGCUUUUUAUUCUUAGUUUUUCUUUCGCUAGAAGCUAAUUGCUGAUUCUUCCUGGGCAUGCCUUGAGUCUUCUUCUCGGAAUUUCGAUGAGGCUUUCUAUCGGCGCUAUGUUCUUUAGUUUUGGCAGAUGAUCGGGGAAUAUUGGAAGAAGAAGGAAUGAAGUUGGGAGAUUUUGCAUUUAACUUGCUCGAAGAAUUACUGUUCGACGGCAUCUCUCCCAAUGCAGAUUUUUCUCCGUUAAGCAUUAAAACUAGUUAUGAAUCUUUAAU